UACGGGGGGGGCAAGCGUUGUUCGGAAUUACUGGGCGUAAAGGGCGCGUAGGUGGCCAACUAAGUCAGACGUGAAAUCCCUCGGCUUAACCGGGGAACUGCGUCCGAUACUGGAUGGCUUGAGUUCGGGAGAGGGAUGCGGAAUUCCAGGUGUAGCGGUGAAAUGCGUAGAUAUCUGGAGGAACACCGGUGGCGAAGGCGGCAUCCUGGACCGACACUGACGCUGAGGAGCGAAAGCCAGGGGAGCAAACGGG
rnacentral:rRNA from 1 species